AGCAAAGAAAGUUUUAGAAGAAUCAGUCAGCCAAACACCAUGAGUAUGAUAAAAAAUCAGUAAGCUUGUCCUAAAGAACGAUAGUAAUAAAAAAAGAUAAUGUCACGUUUGAUUUAAAGGACCAAUUGGAUAGAGGUAAAAGUUCUAGGAUUUGCAUCCCCUUUAUAAGAGAAAAUGUCAAAAAUGAACAAGAAACAUGCAAUAGAUUCUUCUACUAUAAAUACAGCAGAAAUCCAUAUGAGAGAAUGUAUACUCAUAAGUUCCUCAUUCAAACAUAAAUGCUAACUCUCAACUAAAAUUCUUAGAUUAUCUAGCCUUCCACACAAGCCAACAACAAAAAUCCCGUUCAAAUGUAGAGCAACCAAACGCAUCUCAUAAGCUGAAUUUUAAAUUUACUUUAUCAUCUAACUUCCUCAAUGUUAGUUUUUCCAUUUUGUAAUUCCCCCCCAAUUGAAAUUCAUGUAGUAUACAUGUUCCAACUCACACUCAACUGAAAACAAAUUAACACAAAUAAAUUGAACCAAACAUUUGGACAAAAUAACUUACAUUAACCUACAAAAACUAGAAAAAAAAUAAAAUAAAAU
rnacentral:misc_RNA from 1 species